rnacentral:rRNA from 1 species
UACCCGCUGAACUUAAGCAUAUCAAUAAGCGGAGGAAAAGAAACCAACAGGGAUUGCCCUAGUAACGGCGAGUGAAGCGGCAACAGCUCAAAUUUGAAAUCUGGCUCUUUCAGAGUCCGAGUUGUAAUUUGCAGAGGGCGCUUUGGCUUUGGCAGCGGUCCAAGUUCCUUGGAACAGGACGUCACAGAGGGUGAGAAUCCCGUACGUGGUCGCUAGCUAUUGCCGUGUAAAGCCCCUUCGACGAGUCGAGUUGUUUGGGAAUGCAGCUCUAAAUGGGAGGUAAAUUUCUUCUAAAGCUAAAUACUGGCCAGAGACCGAUAGCGCACAAGUAGAGUGAUCGAAAGAUGAAAAGCACUUUGGAAAGAGAGUCAAACAGCACGUGAAAUUGUUGAAAGGGAAGCGCUUGCAGCCAGACUUGCUUGCAGUUGCUCAUCCGGGCUUUUGCCCGGUGCACUCUUCUGCAGGCAGGCCAGCAUCAGUUUGGGCGGUGGGAUAAAGGUCUCUGUCACGUACCUCUCUUCGGGGAGGCCUUAUAGGGGAGGCGACAUACCACCAGCCUGGACUGAGGUCCGCGCAUCUGCUAGGAUGCUGGCGUAAUGGCUGUAAGCGGCCCGUCUUGAAACACGGACCAAGGAGUCUAACAUCUAUGCGAGUGUUUGGGUGUCAAGCCCGAACGCGUAAUGAAAGUGAACGGAGGUGGGAACCCGCAAGGGUGCACCAUCGACCGAUCCUGAUGUCUUCGGAAGGAUUUGAGUAAGAGCAUGGCUGUUGGGACCCGAAAGAUGGUGAACUAUGCUUGAAUAGGGUGAAGCCAGAGGAAACUCUGGUGGAGGCUCGCAGCGGUUCUGACGUGCAAAUCGAUCGUCAAAUUUGGGCAUAGGGGCGAAAGACUAAUCGAACUAUCUAGUAGCUGGUUCCUGCCGAAGUUUCCCUCAGGAUAGCAGUAACGUAUUCAGUUUUAUGAGGUAAAGCGAAUGAUUAGAGGCCUGGGGGUUGAAACAACCUUCACCUAUUCUCAAACUUUAAAUAUGUAAGAAGUGUUUGUUGCUUAAUUGAACGUACACAUUUGAAUGAAACGUUAUUAG